AUUAUAUUAUUAAUGUUUGAAGCUCAUUGAUGGAAUGAGGAGCAAGACUGAGAAAUUUAAUAUAUCUAUAUAUUUUUCUUGAAUUCUACAGCACCCCUGUGACUGGAAAUUGAGAAAGAUCUUGAAGGAGUUUGCCAAUGUGGGGGGGAAAGCUGUUGAAUGAUUCAUUUGCAGGUAUAACAGAGGUUGUCCUAUUGGAGUCCCUCUCUCAAUUAGACACAUCAUCUCCUGUGGAUUUCAAUGGCCUUUUGCCUAUAGAUUUGCCAAGACCUCCUAAUGCCUUCAGAGGAAUUCGAAAGAAGACUUCCUCCUUCAAGCGAUGGCUUACCAUAUAUGUGCAGGUGACUCAAUAACGUGAGUACAACCACAGGGUGUUGUAUGAUAUUAGUAUAUCGCUUUUUUUCUUUUAGUCUGAGUUUGAUAUCUUGUUCUGACACGGUGAAGCAGGGAUGGGAGAUAUAGAGUGAUCAUCAAUUUCUUGUGGCAUUACCUUGGAGAUUUGUACUAUAUCUUGUAUUUAUGAACAAAAAUAUUAGAAAUGAAACUUUUAUCUACAUGUAAA